rnacentral:hammerhead_ribozyme from 1 species
ACAGCUGACGAGUCCCAAAUAGGACGAAAUGCGCAUCCUGGAU